AAAUAAUUAUAGGCUUGUCGGCUCUGAGAACUACAGGCAAGAUGGAACCUCUGGCCACACCAUUGAGAGCGUGUGUGGCUUCCCUUGGGAUUCGAGAACUUCACGUUGAACACCGAGAUGCCACCAAACAUUGUAGAAAAGCCGCCCUUUCUCUGUGCGAGGUGUCAGUUCUCCGUGGUGGAGAUCUGCUCCCAACCUUAUCCCAGGAGAAGCUUGUUGUUUCCAAACUUGUGGAUGCUGGAAAAUUAGAUAACCAAGCUUGGCCAACAUUAUGAUACAUGAGCCAUCGACUCUGAGCAAACGCUAAGAACUAAAGCGGUCAUGCAGGGUUUCAGAGCGGAGCUGAGAGACACCUACUUUGGAGGCUCAGGCAGCUUGUUUGUCUGAUUCCCAGUGCAUGUUCCAAGGGAUGGGCUACAAGACAAUUGACUUCUGGGUACGGGUAGUAACGCCACAAGGUAACGUUUGGAGCCUUGAGUUACAACCAAACAGCUCUAUAAUUGUUUGAUGUUUUCCUCCAAAUUAAAGAUACAAUUAAGGACA